rnacentral:rRNA from 1 species
CAGCAGCCACGGGAAUACGGAGGGGGCUAGCGUUGUUUGGAAUUACUGGGCGUAAAGCGCACGUAGGCGGCUUGGUAAGUUAGAGGUGAAAGCCCGAAGCUCAACUCCGGAAUUGCCUUUAAGACUGCCGAGCUAGUAGGUGAGAGAGGUAAGUGGAAUUCCGAGUGUAGAGGUGAAAUUCGUAGAUAUUCGGAAGAACACCAGUGGCGAAGGCGGCUUACUGGCUCAUUCUAGACGCUGAGGUGCGAAAGCGUGGGGAGCAAACAGGAUUAGAUACCCCUGUAGUCCCUGUCUCUUAUAA